GUGCUCAGUUCAGCAGCCCAUGUACUAAAAUUCAAAUGGUACAGAGAAGAUUAGCAUGGCCCCUGAGCAAGGAUGACAUGCAAAUUUGUGAAGCAUUCCACAUUUUU
ensembl:snRNA U6 U6 spliceosomal RNA